rnacentral:rRNA from 1 species
CAGUAGCCGCGGUAAUACGAGGGGGGCAAGCGUUGUUCGGAAUUAUUGGGCGUAAAGGGCGCGUAGGCGGUUUGGCAAGUUUGGUGUGAAAUCUUCGGGCUCAACUCGAAGUCUGCAUCGAAAACUGCCGGCCUUGAGUAUGGGAGAGGUGAGUGGAAUUUCCGGUGUAGCGGUGAAAUGCGUAGAUAUCGGAAGGAACACCUGUGGCGAAAGCGGCUCACUGGACCAUAACUGACGCUGAGGCGCGAAAGCUAGGGGAGCAAACAGGAUUAGAUACCCCCGUAGUCCCUGUCUCUUAUAA